rnacentral:rRNA from 1 species
CACGUAGUUAGCCGGGGCUUCUUACUCAGGUACCGUCAUCUUCUUCCCUGCUGAUAGAGCUUUACAUACCGAAAUACUUCUUCACUCACGCGGCGUUGCUGCAUCAGGGUUUCCCCCAUUGUGCAAUAUUCCCCACUGCUGCCUCCCGUAGGAGUUUGGGCCGUGUCUCAGUCCCAAUGUGGCCGGUCACCCUACUCAGGUCGGCUACUGAUCGUCGCCUUGGGUCGGGCCCGUUACCCCUCCAACUAGCUAAUCAGACGCGGGUCCAUCUCAUACCACCGGAGUUUUCACACAAGAACAUGCAUCCUCGUGCGCUUAUGCGGUAUUAGCAGUCAUUUCUAACUGUUACUCCCCCUGUAUGAGGCACGGUUACCCACGCGUUACUCCACCCGUCCGCUACUCAGUCAAUCUAGCUUCCAUACCGAAAACUUCCGACUUAAACUCGUACCUUCGUUCGUACUUCGCUAUGUGUUAACGCUACGCCGCAGCGUUCAUCCUGACGUCAGGACUCAAACCU